CAUGGUAGCAGCAACACUUGACCUAUUGGAAGGUCCAGAGGCGUUGUUGCACGUUCAUGAUGGAUACAGUGUAACUCAGUGGAAAAGUCUCAAUGCCUUGUUUGUCAAAUUUUCCCAAUCAAAUGUGGAGUAUGGCAGUCUCUCGCUUCAACUGGUUUAUCAGAACUCUGCUGGAGAGUUGUCCACCACAUUGGCAUUUCAAGACAUCAAUGCCUGCAGCAUUCAUCACAAGUGAAUGCAUCACUGAUGACUACUGGUGUGCAUCAUGUAAUUUUAACAACCAAUGCAUAUUUCACUACAAUAUACCAUUUUUUCAUAGUGUAACUUGACACCAUCGAUAAAGGCUGCUAACCUAAGGCUUUUAUACUCUUCACCAGCUAUGUAAGUUAAUGCUCUUGUCAGGUGUUUUGUUAUACUUUUAUGUUGGAAUGCGUGUAUAUGACAGGAUUCAAGACGUAGAUUCUAUAUUUAACAACAUGGCAUAGUAUUGUAUAUCAUUAUAAUUGCUACCAGGAAUAUCCCUUUAGGAAUAUUAUCGAUCCAUUUUUUUUAUAAAAUAUAUAAAUGAGUGAUACAAAUACUGACCAAAAACAAUUAUGAUGUGUUUUUGGCAAAAGUUGUGAAGAUUUUUGCUAAUAUUUUACAAAGAUGUAUUUUACAAACCUGGCUAAGUUGGUUGUGUUACCUGCAUAACUAUAAUCAUAUUUCAGUUAUC
rnacentral:lncRNA from 1 species